UAAGAUCCGUAGUCGAAAGGGAAACAGCCCAGACCACCAGCUAAGGUCCCAAAAUAUAUGUUAAGUGGAAAAGGAUGUGGCGUUGCCCAGACAACCAGGAUGUUGGCUUAGAAGCAGCCAUCAUUUAAAGAGUGCGUAAUAGCUCACUAGUCGAGUGACCCUGCGCCGAAAAUGUACCGGGGCUAAAACAAUUUACCGAAGCUGU
rnacentral:rRNA from 1 species